CGUGGGUAACCUGCCUUAUAGUGGGGGAUAGCCUUUCGAAAGGAAGAUUAAUACCGCAUAAGAUUGUAGUAUCGCAUGANAUAGCAAUUAAAGGAGCAAUCCGCUAUAAGAUGGACCCGCGUCGCAUUAGCUAGUUGGUGAGGUAAUGGCUCACCAAGGCGACGAUGCGUAGCCGACCUGAGAGGGUGAUCGGCCACAUUGGGACUGAGACACGGCCCAGACUCCUACGGGAGGCAGCAUG
rnacentral:rRNA from 1 species